rnacentral:rRNA from 1 species
GAUGAACGCUGGCGGCGUGCUUAACACAUGCAAGUCGAACGGAAAGGCCUCUGCUUGCAGGGGUACUCGAGUGGCGAACGGGUGAGUAACACGUGGGUGAUCUGCCCUGCACUUCGGGAUAAGCCUGGGAAACUGGGUCUAAUACCGGAUAGGACAAUGGUUUGGAUGCCGUUGUGGACAGUUUUUCGGUGUGGGAUGAGCUCGCGGCCUAUCAGCUUGUUGGUGGGGUAAUGGCCUACCAAGGCGUCGACGGGUAGCCGGCCUGAGAGGGUGUACGGCCACAUUGGGCCUGCGAUACGGCCCAGACUCCUACGGUAGGCAGCAGUGGGGAAUAUUGCACAAUGGUCGCGAGCCUGAUGCAGCGACGCCGCGUGGGGGAUGACGGCCUUCGGGUUGUAAACUCCUUUCGCUAGGGACGAAGCGCAAGUGACGGUACCUGGAGAAGAAGCACCGGCUAACUACGUG